rnacentral:rRNA from 1 species
AGCAGCCGCGGUAAUUCCAGCUCCAAUAGCGUAUAUUAAAGUUGCUGCAGUUAAAAAGCUCGUAGUUGAAUUUCGGGACCAUCAUGUCGGUCGUGCCUCGGUACGUACUGGUAUUGUUGGUUUCUCCCUUCUGACGAACCAUGAUGUCAUUUAUUUGGUGUUGUGGGGAAUCGGGACUGUUACUUUGAAAAAAUUAGAGUGUUUAAAGCAGGCUCACGCUUGAAUACAUUAGCAUGGAAUAAUGAAAUAGGACGUUUGAUUCUAUUUUGUUGGUUUCUAGGAUCGACGUAAUGAUUAAUAGGGAUAGUUGGGGGCAUUAGUAUUCAAUUGUCAGAGGUGAAAUUCUUGGAUUUAUUGAAGACUAACUACUGCGAAAGCAUUUGCCAAGGAUGUUUUCAUUAAUCAAGAACGAAAGUUAGGGGAUCGAAGACGAUCAGAUACCGUCGUAGUCUUAACCAUAAACUAUGCCGACUAGGGAUCGGAUGAUGUAAUUUUUUAAUGACUCAUUC